UACAGAGGUCUCAACCGUUGUUCGGAUUCAUUGGGCGUAAAGGGUGCGUAGGCGGUCGCGCAAGUCGGAUGUGAAAUCUCAGGGCUCAACCCUGAAACUGCAUUCGAUACUGCGCGGCUAGAGUGCUGGAGGGGAGACUGGAAUUACGGUGGUAGCAGUGAAAUGCGUAGAUAUCGUAAGGAAGACCAGUGGCGAAGGCGAGUCUCUGGACAGCAACUGACGCUGAGGCACGAAAGCUAGGGGAGCAAACAGG
rnacentral:rRNA from 1 species